rnacentral:sRNA from 1 species
AUAAGUGUGAAGCCAAAUUCCGUGGCACCGGGAAGCGGGGGAACCGUUUUGGGUGAAUUGAUCUUGUUUCGGAGGGAUCAUAGGGGAAACCUUCUACCGAAUCCUUAAGCUAACCUCGCAGGCAUUGGAAGGGGACAAA